GAGAGUGAGGACACGCUGGGUCCUGGGACACAUGCAGCGUCAGCCUUUUAAGAUGUCAGCAACUUGUUCUUCCAAUUUACAUUUGAAGCAGGGAGCAGGUUGCUGACCUUCUACAUGGAAUUGGUGAUCAUCUUUGCCACUACAAGAGGAGUACUUGGCUGAAAAAAACAAAGCCAAAAAAGAAGGAUAUAGGAAGCAAAAGAUGGAGGAAGGGUCCUGAAGUCAUGAUGCCUUCUAAAUUUUCCAGCGCAGUUCAUUGCUCUUGGGAAAGAAGUGCUAAGUACAGUCUGAACUACUUUGCCUCAGUUUAUUGGACUGAAGAGGAAUCCAGGAGACCAGCCCUCUCACUGAAGGCCCUGUACACUGGCAGUAUCAAAUGUUCAAGCUAUGCUCUCUGGCAGAUUUGAAGUCUCUUCCAGAAUUCUCCUCCUUUUCCACUUAGGUCUCAGUCUUCAAGGUCCAAUGGAGAAGAUUCUAUUUGAAGAUUUCCCUUUCGCCUGCCCACUGUGCUGAUAAUGCCUCCUUUCUUGUCAUCUCAGGAUUUUCAAAGCCUCCAACACUCUCUCUGAAAAUUAUUUGUCACCAUGCACCCCCCACUGGACUGAGGAGCAGGGACCAUUGAAUAAGUAUCUCUGACCCUCAUCAGCCUACUCCAAUUGUCACAUCGUUGUGGACAGUGAAAGAUAGAUGUAGUACCAUGAGAAUGACAAUGUCUAUGGUCUUAUACAGCUCUGAUGAGAACGUUAGACUUUCUCAUGCCUUUGAGGUUCUUACUCAGGGGAGAGACAGGAUCUAGCCUGAGGUGAGUCUCCCUGACCUGUUGAUGUGGUCCCUGCUUUGUUCCCAAGAGAAAGCCUCAGUGUGAGCUGCAGUCUUAGCCCUGGUCCUGACAGAUACUCUGAACUUCCUCUUCUGCUGUGCCUGUCUCUGCACUCUCCUGCUCAUGUGGGGCUUCUGAAGCAGGCCUUUCCACUCAGGCUGUGUGGUCAGGCUGUGGAUCUUUUCCUUCUUAAAGCAGAUGUUGCCUCUUGUGCAGAUAAAGCAAAAAGAUGUUGAUGGAGAUUCAAUUUCAGUGGAACAGAAGUGAUGCCUGUAAUUCUAGCACUCAGUCUGUACCUUGGGAGGCUUCUGUGUCAGGCCAAACUUUAUGCCCUACUCUGGGACCCUGCUUUGGAAUCCUAACUUCCUCUUUUAUAGACUCUUGGCUCGAAAAAUAUCUGAAGAGUGCUUCAGUUCUCUGACUAUCUCAUUGCUGGUCAUUUCUUAUUGGUAGGAGCUGGCCAUGUUGCCCUGGAUUCCAAAGUAUAGUAGUUCCCUAGUCAACUCAAAGCUCCUACUGCAAAAAGGAUGUAGGAAAAGAUUAUGUUACUUGGAAAUUGUAAUACCUCUUUGCUCACUCAUGGAGGUCAAACCCAGAGAGAAAGCCUUGAGAACCUGCAGUCUGCUGUCCUUAGAGCAUAUUUCCCCACAUUUAGUGGUUUGCUCUUUAUAAACAGGUGAAAAAUAAGCAAAGAGCAAGCACAGGAGCACACAUCUUUACUUUUAGCACUCUGGGAGGCUAAGGAAGGAGGACUGCAAGUUCAAGGCUAGCCUAGGCAACUUAGUGAGACCGUGUCUCAAAAUAACCAAAAGAGUUGGUUGAAGGGACAGAGAGGUGAACAAGGUGGCUUUCCAAUGUCUAGUUCUUUAGAGAGAUGCAAACAUGUUACUUGGAUGACAAAAUGGAUCUCUCCUUUCAGUAGAUAUUGCCCCUUGUGCAGCUAGAGCAAAAAGAUAUUGAUGAAGAUUAAAUUCCACGGAACAGAAGUGAUGCCACAGAACAAGUCAGCAUCUCCCAAGAUCCAGCCUUGUUGGAACUUGAGGGAUUGAACAAUAAAGCCACACAAGUCCUUCCUCCUGGUAAGUGGAGGUAUGAGCAAGUAGUGGGUGCACCAGGAAGAGAACAAGUCGGCACAUGGGCUGAGGAUCAAAUGUCCCCUCAUACUCCGGGUUAGCAACUGGAUGGUGUCCAGGUCAGCCUGAGUUGAUAGCAACUAAGGCACAAACAACUAAAAGCGUAUAUUGUUGGGUUGAUUAUGCUGACAUGGGGCCAGAGCUCUGAGCAUCUCUUGGGAGAAUGGCAGUAUGCAAUAUAGCAAACACGGGGGAUUUCCUUCUAACUUAUCUUUGAAGGCAAGUAUUAUUUUCACUAUUUUGCUUUGUUCUGAUUAAUUGUUUUGCUCUAUUCAAUAUUCUGUUUUGGUUGUUUUAUAAUGUUCUGUUUUUGGUUUGAUUUUACUAUACCUGAUUGAAAGGACAACUAUUGUGAAGAUAACGAGAUAUACUAUGGCACCUAUUACUGUUAUCCUGGUAAUCUACCCUGAAUUUCUGUACCAGUUUCACUGCAUUGUCUCGACUGGCUUUGUUCUGUCAUGUUUUGUUGUAUUUUACUACCUUCAAAAUAAAAAAAGAAGUCAUAUCAA